GGUUCCAUAGUGUAGCGGUUAUCACUCCGGAUUCUGAUUCUGUCAGAACAUUCCGGCAACCCCGGUUCGAGUCCGGGUGGGACCU
rnacentral:tRNA from 2 species